ensembl:snRNA U6 U6 spliceosomal RNA
GUGCUUGCUUCGGCAGCACAUAUACUAAAAUUGUAAUGAUACAGAGAAGAUUAGCAUGGCCCUGCGCAUAAUGCCACAGCUCUGUCCUUUAGGAUUCCCUCAGAUUA